AGGAAACUUUAUAAAAUCAACCUAGAGCUUUUUGGUUCAGCUCAAUAACCUCACACCUUGGUAAUCUUGAGAACAACCUCUCUCAACCAAAGUGGAACACACAACAAAAAGAUGUAAGAGUUUUGGACAACACUUCAACUUGACAUGGAUCACUCAAGAAGAUUAGAAGAAGAAGAAGUGUAGAGCUUUGAAAAAAAGAGCACUUGGACACAACCUUGGAAUGUUGUAAGCUUUGAAGGUAGUGAACGUUAGAAGUAGAAAUGUGGAGCUCAAAGUGGAGAUUUGAAAAGCUCUUG
rnacentral:lncRNA from 1 species